GACCAGGGGGACCCUGCCCAUAAAUGAGUUUACAAUUCACCGCCUAAUUCAGCCACCUGACC
rnacentral:tRNA from 1 species